UACGGGGGGGGCAAGCGUUGUUCGGAAUUACUGGGCGUAAAGGGCGCGUAGGCGGUUCGAUAAGUCAGCUGUGAAAACCAUGGGCUUAACUCAUGGCCUGCAGUUGAGACUGUCUGGCUUGAGUGUGGGAGAGGAGAGUGGAAUUCCUGGUGUAGCGGUGAAAUGCGUAGAUAUCUGGAGGAACACCGGUGGCGAAGGCGGCGUUCUGGACUGCAACUGACACUGAAAAACGAAAGCCAGGGGAGCAAACAGG
rnacentral:rRNA from 1 species